GGGGCGUUUACCACGGUAUGAUUCAUGACUGGGGUGAAGUCGUAACAAGGUAACCGUAGGGGAACCUGCGGUUGGAUCACCUCCUUAU
rnacentral:rRNA from 1 species